rnacentral:lncRNA from 1 species
CUUCCACAGAUCUCACCGACUUCCUUCUUUGUGGCAUUCUCAUUUUGGGGGCCAUGUCCCAAGAAGAGGGUGGAUAAUGGUCAAGAGAGUGGAGAAGGAUGCGGAUUGAAGUGUAACUAAGUGGAGAGAAUAUUUUUUGAAGAGUUUCUCAUAGAUUUGAGGAUUAGGAUUUGGUAUUUGAGGAAAACUGAAAAAUGAGCCAUG